AUUGAACGCUGGCGGCAGGCCUAACACAUGCAAGUCGAGCGGUAGCACAGAGAGCUUGCUCUCGGUGACGAGCGGCGGACGGGUGAGUAAUGUCUGGGAAACUGCCUGAUGGAGGGGGAUAACUACUGGAAACGGUAGCUAAUACCGCAUAAUGUCGCAAGACCAAAGAGGGGGACCUUCGGGCCUCUUGCCAUCAGAUGUGCCCAGAUGGGAUUAGCUAGUAGGUGGGGUAACGGCUCACCUAGGCGACGAUCCCUAGCUGGUCUGAGAGGAUGACCAGCCACACUGGAACUGAGACACGGUCCAGACUCCUACGGGAGGCAGCAGUGGGGAAUAUUGCACAAUGGGCGCAAGCCUGAUGCAGCCAUGCCGCGUGUAUGAAGAAGGCCUUCGGGUUGUAAAGUACUUUCAGCGGGGAGGAAGGUGUUGUGGUUAAUAACCACAGCAAUUGACGUUACCCGCAGAAGAAGCACCGGCUAACUCCGUGCCAGCCGCCGCGGUAAGAC
rnacentral:rRNA from 1 species